AAGUGAAACACUAAAUUAGGUACUUUUAAAACCCUUCACCAUGACACUACAAACUGAGAACGAUUAUUCUGUCUUACUCACUUGUAACUUUUCUAGGUUCAAGAAAGCACUUUACUGGUAGAAAAAUGACUUCAUUUCCCAGGGUUCCUUUCCUUUUCAUUUUAUCAGAGAUUUAUGAUUUAUCAGCUUUUAUGAUGAAACAACAGCAAUGCUAAGUUGAAACUCUGGCAGCACUUUCUGCAUGGUUUGAGCCCUGUGAGCUGGUUGUUCCGUGAGGCUGCCAGUUUGCCCGGGGAGGCUGGAGCAGCAGCACUGCCAGCCAGGCUUGGACCCACACAUGAAGGCAAAGAGAAUUUAUGAAUAUUUAAAAUCUCAUUAAUUUUAACCAAAGUCCUAAAUGAUUGAUUAAAUACUCUUUUCAAAACUCCGACUGUUUAAAAAUCAAUUUGACAGUAACAUCCACGGCUCGGAAUAAAGCUGCUUGAAAAGUCGAACAUGAAAAGUAGAAAAUCACACCUAAUCAUUCUUUAUUGGUAAUACAAUUUAAGACAGAAAAUGCUUUUUACUAUUAAAUAUGGCAAGCAUGUUUUAUAAAUAUAAUUGCCAUUUUCCAGUCAUGGUUUUACACAUUGCAGUCGACAUUUAAUUUCUGUCCUUGCUUCAUAUAAGUGAAAUCUCAAGUAAAAAAACAACCACUCUCCUUUAAUGUCAUUAACCUUUUCUGAAGAAUUUAAAAAGCAAACCAUGAGAUUCUAGAGCUAACUAAGUGCUCCACAGCUGUGUGAGAGACAGUAUCACUUUCUGGUUAAGAUACAACCAUGCCAAAUUUUACAAGUGUGUGACUAGCUGCAAGCCAUGUGUUUUGUAUUACUCUUCCUAAUCAACGGGAAUGAGCUCUCACUUAGGAAAAGUUCAAAUUAUUUAAUUCAAAUUUCCUUGUUUAUCACUUGAAUCAUGAGCACAACCAGUGAUUUAAAUCACUUCAGCUGCAAAGAGUCCUUGCUGAGUGGCAGCCAGCAUCCUCCGGGCUGCGGGAUGCUGGUGGCCGAUGGAGCUGUGACACGGCGAGCUCCGGCUGGGGAGCACCGGGACAGCCACGGAUCCAGGAUUCACCUGUGGGGCCAUGUGGAGCCAGCUCCCAACCAGGCACUGGCAGACCAAGAUCCUCAUGAUGUGGUUGAAGUGCUGAAUCUGGCAGCAGUGUUAAUCAAGAGCAAGGUCAUGCAACUCAUUCAAAUAUCCAGCCAUGAUUCUCUAGUGCCCACUUGAUAUUAGAUUUUAUAUCAACUCACCUGCAGAAAUAUAUGAAAUUUGUGCAAAAAAAAAUCCAUCUUUUUAGCUCUCUUCAUUUACAGGCAUUAUUAUUUCAACAGAAUAUAAUUAGCAAAAGUGCUUCUUGUAUUUUUUGGGAACAUAAUAGUUCCAGUUACUUAGACAGAAAAAAAAUUAGAAUAAAACUAGCUAGCUAAAGAAUUGUCUGUUAAAA
rnacentral:lncRNA from 1 species